AGAUCGUACAGUUGAUCUCAUCUGGUCUGUAGACGCCAGACAACAAGAAUGAACAAGAUUCUCCUGAUCGCCCUUCUGGGCUGUACUGUUCUUGCUUUAGCAGCUGCAAGCAAUGAUGCCAACUCU